CUCAUGUAAUAGGGAAAUCCAUAUGACAGAUUGUAGGCCUGUAAGAAAUUAAUUUAUGGUACAUGAUUAGUUGCCACACCUAUGGGAGGCGAGUUUGUAGAG